GCCCACAAGCCCCCUCCCCCCGGCAUAACCCACAAUGGGCUCCUGUUCCCUCCACAUUCACUCCCCUCCCCCUCCCUGCAGCAGUCCCUGCCUGGAAAGGCAUCAACUUCCUUCUGGCCACCAAACCCGGUGCCCUUUGUGACCUCCAGCCUCUCCUUCUCGGCCCUCCCUGGGCUGUUUCUGUGGCUUCCGUCCAUCCCUCCUCUACCUGGGAGCCCCUUCUUCUCACCUGAAUGACCAGAAGUGCCUCCUUUCCCUGGUCCAACCUCCCACAACCCCUCACCUCCAGAUCAACAGUCCUGGAAGCUCAUUCUGAUCAGGCCCCCUUGCCUCUCAGGGGUCCCCACUGCUGAGCCACGCCCCACCCCCGCGCCCUGAGCCCACAGACCCAGUCUCCUCUCCCACCAAAACCCACCUUCUGUCACCUGGGCACACCCCUUCCCAGCCACACUAAACAUGCUGACUCCACCCUUUCCCCCACCCUCCUCCAUCCCAGUACCCCACUUAACCCAUCUUCAAGUGCGAGGUGAGCCCUAGGGAUGCUCAAAUCCCACCUUCUCCCAAAGGCCCCAGCAUAAAGAGCUCAUUUCUCACCUUUUUUUUUUUUAAAGAGGUGGUAUCUUGCAUUGUCACCCAAUGCAAGGGACUCACAAUCAUAGCUCACUGCAGCCUCAACCUCCUGGACUCAAAGGAUCCUCCUGCCUCACCCCUCCCAAGUAACUGGGACUACAGGUGUACACCACCACGCCCGGAAUUUUUUUAUUUUUUUUUGUAGCAACAGAGUCUCGCCAUCUUGCCAGACUGGUCUCAAACUCCUGAGUUCACGUGAUCCCCCACCUCAGUCUCCCAAUAUGCUGGGAUUACAGACAUGAGCUACCACGCCCAACUCCAGAAGUGCUCACUUCUAAACUCCUACAGGAACUUCAACCAAUGUGCUUCCUAUGGCAACGGGCGCGGUACUCAUGGCCACAAUGAUGACAACAGUAAUGGCCGUGAAUAUGUGUUGAGUGCGUACAACGUCCUGGGUGUUGGCAUGAGCACUUUAUAUGCACUAUCUCAUCAGACCUCACUAAGAGUUCAUGAGAUUUAAGCGGCUCCAGGGUGAGAUAAAUACGGCUCUCGUGCCUGCCCUCCCCUCUCUGAACCUAGCCUGCACCUUGCUCAAAGCAGCACUCAGGAAACGUUUGUUGGCGUGGUUUUUGGCUUUAUCUGAACAGCACCUUCACGGAGUGAUUCUACUAAAACUCUCGACAUGGUGGUGGGGACAAGACCUCAGGGCUGGCCAUCACUGCCAUCGGUGUGGUUUUCUGGGUCAUCAUUUGAAACAGGAUGUUCUUGCAUUUAUGUAAUGAUGUACCCACUAAAACUCCUUGUGAGUAGAAGAGUUUUAAUGACUUCUGGGAGGGAGGGUGGUUUCCUAAGUUCAGGUUUGAUGGGAGCGAGAGGCAGCUCAGGAAAGCGUCUGCAGACGCGCCAGCCGGCGGCU
rnacentral:lncRNA from 1 species